UCCGUGGCCCAUUCGUAAAAAUGGUUGUGCCAUGUAGCUGACUCAUAUCACAGCCAUUUUUGACGAGUUGGGCUGGGGG
rnacentral:pre_miRNA from 1 species